GCGGGUGUUCGGCUACAUCACUGGGGCGCCAUGGUGCCUGGAGCUGGGCAGUUUUCUCAUCAGAGUGGGGACUGAUGAUGAUUAUUCCCCACCUUCUAAGAGACAAAGACCAACGAGCCACCACAGCCACCAGUCCCAGAACCCGCCAAUGCUGGGGAACGGAAAAUGAGGGAGUUCAACUCUGGCCCUCACAAUCCAGUGGAGGAGACGCAACUCAUCUGCCUCUGUCCCUCUGGGCACGCCUCAUGCCAGGUGCAUCUGUGGACAGGGGCCAUGCUCCUGGGCUUCCAAAGUUGGAGAAAGCUGCCAGGCUCAGGUCUGAAGGCCAGAAUUCUACAGUAAGUCCUACUGAGUCAAGGUGGGAGCAGGGUCGGUAGCUUCCGAGGCUCUGCGGGAGAAUCUGUUUCCUGGCCGUAGAGGUGGCCUGCACUCCUCAGCCUGUGCUGCCCGUCUCGAAUGACUGGAGUUUCCUGCUUCUGUCACUACACCUCCCACCCUCUCCAUCACCUGCUCUGCUCUUACAAGGAUCCGAAGAAAUGGAAUCAUCGUAUCGCUGAUCUACGUAAACAAACUGAAGAAUUGUCUGAAAGAAAAUAUGACAUGAACUUAUGAAUUCAACAGGUGAAGAUUUACAACUUGAUAAAUCAACUUUGUCAGCUCGAGCUGUAAAAGCCAAAGGUCCGGUGAUGAUCCCAUACCCUUUUUUCCAGUCUCAUGUUGAAGAUUUUUAUGUAGAAGGCCUUCCCAAAGGAAUUUUUUUUUUUUUUUUUUGAGAUGGAGUUUUCACUCUUAUCGCCCAGGCUGGGGUGCAAUGGCGCAACCUUGCUGGUCACUGCAACCUCUGCCUCCUGGGUUCAAGAAAUUCUCCUGCCUUAGCCUCCCAAGUCACUGGGAUUACAGGUGCCCACCACCACACCAGGCUAAUUUUUGUAUUUUUAGUGGAGAUGCGGUUUCACCAUGUUGGCCGGGCCAGUCUCGAACUCCUGACGUCAAGUGAUCUUCCCGCCUCGACUCCUGAUAUCAAGUGAUCUUCCCGCCUCGGCCUCCCAGAGUGCUGAGAUUACAGACGUGAACCCAUGCCUGGCCAGGAAUUUUGUUUUUUAGGAAGGCUUUCUACUAAUGGAAUUCCUGGCCUUGAGAGGAUGUUACUUUAGAAGGAAAGGAUUUUUUUGUUAUUAAAAGAGCCACCUAAGCUGAAGAUUCCCUUGAGAACAAGUACUGUCCCUAGUUUCCCAGUGCUGGAAUAUAGAAAAUGGAUGGACAACUGGACCUACCAUGAAAGACUUCUGAAUCCAGGAAGAGAAACUGACUGGGCAACAUGUUAUUCAGACUUCUGACCAAAUGUGUGUGCAGAGUUUCUACACCAGUUCUCCAACUCUCUGGAUACCAACCGCGUAUCCCACAAUUCCAUUCUGACACUACCUAGAGUUAGCACAGAACCCACAGGUUAGGGGCUCAGUCCCACAAGACCACCCUCACUUCAGAUGCCAGUUGCAAGUCCUAGGUUGUCACCUGUAUUUUGACCAACCAGUUAGAAAUCAGGGUUUCCCAUGACCCUCUUGUUGAGUUUAAUUAUUUACUAGAACAACUCACAGAACUUAGAAAAACAAGUUUUUUUUUCUUUUCUUUUUAAGAGACAGGGCCUCGCUCUGUUGUCCAAGCUGGUGUGCAGUGGUGCAAUCAUAGCUCAUUGAAGCCUCAACGUCCAGAGCUCAAGUGAUUCUCCUGCUUCAGCCUCUCAAGUAGCUGGAAUUACAGGGUUCCCACCACCACAUUUGGCUAAUUUCUUUUAUUUUUUGUAUAGAUGGGGUCUUCUUAUGUUGCCCAGGUUGGUCUCAAAUUCCUAGGCUCAAGUGAUUCCGCCCACCUCUGCCUCCCAAAGUGCUGGGAUUACGGGCAUGAGCCAGCGCAUCUGGCCACCUUAUUUUCUAUUACUGGCUCAAUGUAAUGGCUCCAUCUCAGGAACAGCCAAUGAAAGAGAUGCACAGGACAAGAGAUGGCAUCUUGCUCUGUUGCUUAGGCUACAGUACAGUGACAUGAUCAUGGUUCACUGUAGCCUCAAACUCCUGGGCUCAAGUGGUUCUCUCACUUCAGUCUCCCAAGUAGCUGGGACUACAGACAUGUGCCACCAUGUCCAGGUAAUUUUUUAUCAUAGAGACGAGAUCUUGCCAUGUUGCUCCGACUGGGCUCAAAACUCCUGACCUCAAGUGAUCCUCCUGCCUCAGCCUCCCAAAGUGCUGGGAUUACAGGCAGGCAUGACCACCUGUGCCCAGCCCCCUAUUAUUAUUAUUUUAAAUAAUAGCUUUAUUAAAAUAUUCACAUACCAUUCACUUUAUUUAUUGAAAUCUGCAAUUCAGUAGGUUUUAGAAUAUUCACAGAGCUGUGCAUCGAUCACCACAGUCACUUUUAGAACCUUUCAUUACCCUAUAGAGAAAUCCAUACCCCUUAGCCACUACCUCCUACUCUCCCCACCUACCUUUGCCCCCAGCCUUAGGCAACCAUUGAUUAAUUUUUUUGUCACUAUAGAUUUGCCUAAUCUGGACAAAUAGAAUUGUACAAUAUGUGAUCUUUUGUGGCUUUUCUUCCCUCUUAGCACAGUGUUUUCAAAGUUCCUUUAUGUCAUAGUGUGUAUCAAUAUUUCAUUCCUUCUAUGGCAGUAUUCCAUGGUAGAGACACACUGCAUUUUGUUUAUCUGUUCAUCAGUUGGUGGAUAUUUGGGUUGUUUCCAUGUAUUCCAUGUAUUGGUCAUUAUGAAUAAUGCUGCUAUGAAGAUUGUUGUACAAGUUUUUGUGUGGACAUAUAUUUUUAUUUUUCUGGGAUAUAUGCCUAGGAGUGAAAUUGUUGCAUUAUAGGAUGACUGUACAUUUAGCCUUUUGAGAAACUGCCAGACUGUUUUCUAACGUGGCUAUACCAGUUGGGUGCAAUGGCUCACACCUGUAAUCCCAGCUACUCAGGAGGCUCAGCUAGGAGGAUGGCUUGAGCCCGUGAAUUCAAGACCAGCCUGGGCAAGAUAGUGAAACCCCGUCUUGAUUUUUUAAAAAUCCAAUUAAAAUGACAAGAAAAGAAAUACCCAAACAAAAUGGUUACACAAUUUUAUGUUCCCACCAGUAAUGUAUGUGGGUUCCAAUUCCUCCACAUCUUCACUGACAUUUUUUUUUUCUAGAUAGGGGCUUGCUCUGUCUCUCAGGCCGCAGUGCAAUGAUGCCAUCACAGUUCACUGCAGCCGUGACCUCCCAGGCACAAGUGAUUCUCUCAUCUCAGCCUCCUGGGUAGCUGAAAAUUACAGGUGUACGCCACCAUGCCUGGCUAAUUUUUAGAUUUUUCUGUAGUGGUGGGAUUUUACCAUGUUGCCCAGGCUGGUCUCAUACUCCUGGCCUCAAGUGAUCUGCCCACCUCAGCCUCCCUAAGUUCUGGAAUUACAGGCUGCCACCAUGCCCGGCCUUCACCAACAUUUGCCAUUAUCUGUUUUUUUUUUCUUCCUUUAUACCUUAAAGCAGUAUAAGAACAAGUGUCUUCAAUUAUAGGAAACAGUAUAAUCCCAGGGCUUUGGGAGGCUAAGACAGGAAGAUGUCUUGAUGCCAGGAGUUUUUUUUGUUGUUGUUGUUUUUGUUUUUGUUAUUGUUGUUGUUGUUUUUGACAGUCUCGCUCUGUCACCCAGGGUGGAGUGCAGUGAUGGGGUCCACUGCAACCUCCACCUCCCAGGUUCAAGUGAUUCUCCUGCCUCAGCCUCCCGAGUAGGUGAGACUACAGGUACACGCCACUACUGCCCAGCUAAUUUUUGUAUUUUUGAUAGAGUCAGAGUUUCACCGUGUUGGCCAGGCUGGUCUCGAACUCCAGACUUCAGGUGAUUUGCCUGCCUUAGCUUCCCAAAGUGCUGCGAUUACAAGCAUGAGCCACCAUGCCCAGCCUGAUGCCAGGAGUUUUAGACUAGCCUGGGCAACCUAGCAAGACCUUGUCUCUACAGAAUAUUUAAAAAUUAGCCAAAUGUGGUGGUGCCUGUGUAUAGUCUCUCUCCCUCUUUUUUUUUUCUAACUUUUUGUGACAUGGUCUGGCUCUGUCACCCAGGCUGAAGUGCAGUGGUGUGAUCAUGGCUCACUGCAGCCUGAAACUCCUGGGAUCAAGUGAUCAAUCCUCCCACCUCAUCCUACCAAGUAGUAGGGACCACAGGUGUAUGCCACCCAGGUCUUGCUAUGUUGUCCAGGCUGGUCUUGAGCUCCUGGCCUCAAGCAAUCCUCUCACCUUGGCCCCCCACAGUGCAAGGAUUACAGGUAUGAGCCACCAUGCCUGGCCCCCUACCCUGCCUACUGAGAACCAAAGGAAGGAUCCAAAUUCUCCUUAGCUCAACUCGAGCCAUUUCCUGAUUGCUUCAUCAGCGAGGAGCUGGUUAUUGGGCUGUCCAGGCCUCCCAAGCAGCACAGAAAUGAGGUGAAGGAGUUUUCCUGUUGCUCCACUCUGUAAGGAGUUGGAGGGUGAUGUUUACUCGUUUGCAGAGAGAGAUGCCUUGUAGGCACCUCAGGAUGGAGAGGGUCCUGAUUCCAAUGUCCUUUUUUUCUUCAGAAACAGGACCUUGCCCUGUCACUCAGGAUGGAGUUCAGUGGUCCUAUCAUGGCUCAUUAUAGCCUCAAACUCCCAGGCUCAAGCAAUCCUACCAUGUCAGCCUUCCCAGUAGCUGGGACUACAGCUGGAUCUACCAUGAAAGACUUGUGAAUCCAGGAAGAGAGACUGACUGGGCAACAUGUUAUUCAGGUACAAAAAGAUUUGGACUGUAACUUAAAAAUGAUCAAAUUAUGUUUCCCAUGCAUCAGGUGCAAUGGGAAGCUCUUCUGGAGAGUGAGAGAAGCUUCCAGUUAAGGUGACAUUGAAGCCAAGUCCUGAAAGAUGAGGAAGAGUUGUAUGAGAGUGGGGAGGGAAGGGGGAGGUGGAGGGAUGGGGAAUGGGCCGGGAUGGGAUAGCGCAAACUGCCCGGGAAGGGAAACCAGCACUGUACAGACCUGAACAACGAAGAUGGCAUAUUUUGUUCAGGGAAUGGUGAAUUAAGUGUGGCAGGAAUGCUUUGUAGACACAGUAAUUUGCUUGUAUGGAAUUUUGCCUGAGAGACCUCAUUGCAGUUUCUGAUUUUUUGAUGUCUUCAUCCAUCACUGUCCUUGUCAAAUAGUUUGGAACAGGUAUAAUGAUCACAAUAACCCCAAGCAUAAUAUUUCGUUAAUUCUCACAGAAUCACAUAUAGGUGCCACAGUUAUCCCCAUUUUAUGAAUGGAGUGAUGAAAACCUUAGGAAUAAUGAAUGAUUUGCGCAGGCUCACCUGGAUAUUAAGACUGAGUCAAAUGUUGGGUCUGGUCUGACUUUAAUGUUUGCUUUGUUCAUGAGCACCACAUAUUGCCUCUCCUAUGCAGUUAAGCAGGUAGGUGACAGAAAAGCCCAUGUUUGUCUCUACUCACACACUUCCGACUGAAUGUAUGUAUGGAGUUUCUACACCAGAUUCUUCAGUGCUCUGGAUAUUAACUGGGUAUCCCAUGACUUUAUUCUGACACUACCUGGAGUUAGCACAGACCCCACAAGUUAGGGGCUCAGUCCCACGAGGCCAUCCUCACUUCAGAUGACAAUGGCAAGUCCUAAGUUGUCACCAUACUUUUGACCAACCUGUUACCAAUCGGGGGUUCCCGUAACUGUCUUCUUGGGUUUAAUAAUUUGCUAGAACAGUUUACGGAACUCAGAAAAACAGUUUAUUUUCUUUUUUUCUGAGAGAGAGGGUCUUAUUUUGUUGCCCAGGCUGGUGUGCAAUGGUGCAGUCAUAGCUCAUUGCAGCCUUGAUUGUCUGGGUUCCAGUGGUUCUCCCACCUCAGCCUCCCUAGUAGCUGAGACUACAUGCCUGCACCACCACAUCUGGCUAGUUUCUUUUAUUUUUUGUAUAGAUGGGGUCUUGUUGUGUUGGCCAGGCUGGCCACAAAUUCCUGGUCUCAAGUGAUCCUCCCACCUCAGCCUCUGAAAGUGCUGGGAUUACAGAUGUGAGCCACCACAUCUGGCCAGUUCAUUUCCUAUUACUGGUUCAUUGUGAAGGAUACAUCUCAGAAACAGUCAAUGAAAGAGACGUGCAUGCUGGAUGCAGUGGCUCAUGCCUGUAAUCUCAGCACUUUGGGAGGCCAAGGUGGGAGGAUCGCUUAAACUCAGGAGUUUGAGACCAGCCUGGGCAACAUGGUGAAAACCUGUCUCUAUAAAAAAUUAAAAAAUAAUAAUAAUAACUGGUGUGGUGUUGUGCACCUAGAGUUCCAACUACUAGGGAAGCUGAGAUGAGAGGAUACCUUGAGCUGGGGACUGGGGAGGCUUAGGUUACAGUAAGCUGAGAUUGUGCCACUGCACUCCAGCUUGGACAAAAGAGCCUGAUCCUGUCUCAAAAAAAAGAAAGAUACCCAGGGCAAGUUAAGUUCGGAGGGGCACAGAGCUCCCAUGCCCUCUGUUGAACAUGCGACCCUCCCAGCAUCUCCUGUGUCCAGCAACCCUGAAAGCUCUGCAAACCCCUUUCAGGGUGUUUAUGGAGGCUUUAUUAUGCAAGCAUGAUUGAUAAAACCUUUGGCUGUUGGUGAUUAAGUCAGUCUCCAGCCCCUCUUCCCCCUGGAGUUCAGUGCAUGAGGCUGAAAGUUCCAAGCCUCUUACCAUGUGGUUGCAUGGUAAUCAGCCCUCCUCUUGAAGAAAUUUAGGAGCUUGCAGUCACCCAGUCAUCUCAACAACAUCCCCAAAUGCAUUCUUACCAUGCUGGAGAUCCCAAAGUUCUUAGAGGCUCUUGUGUUAGAAACCUGGGACCAAGAUCAAAUAUUAAAACAAAAGAUGCUCCUGUCACAUCUAUCACUGAGGUCUUUGUAAGAGCUUUAGAAGCUCUGUGCCAGGAACCAGGGACAGAGAUUAAAUAUAUAUUUCUUUUCUUUUUUUUGAGACAGAAUCUCCCUGUGCCAUCCAGGCUGGAGUGCAGUGAUGUGAUCAUAGCUCACUAUAGCUUUGGCCUUCUGAGAUCAAGCAAUCCUCCCAUCUCAA
rnacentral:lncRNA from 1 species